UGCUUCUCCUUAAACUACAUGAACUGAUAUAUGCAUUUCUGUUCCAACGUACUUACUCUUGUUCUAUUAUCUGUUCCUUGAAGCUUUAUGUAUUUUCUAUACGUGCUUUAAAUGCAAUUAUUUGAGCUUUGCCUUUAGGAACCAUGACAUUUGGACAUUCCAGUUAAGUAAUUGAUAUUUCUUCUUGUGUCUCGUUUCGCAUGACUUUUACCUUGAGGAAAUUAGAGUCAUAUUGCUCUAUUUUAUAAUUUAAGAAUGAGAGCAACUAGUAUGAGAUUUUGUGGAAGGGAAUGAUACAGGGACAAGUAAAUGGGAUGAUCCAUGAAAAAUACACAUAAAUCACACAGAUUAAGUUACCGGAUGUGGAUGCUUGUCCAAACAUGGGUACGGGCAUGGCAAAUUUAUAAAAGGUAUGGUAUGGUGACAUGGCUAUAAGCCUAUACAUAUCUGUAUUAUUUUUUUCAUUCACGUAUUAUGAAAAUUAAAAUUUCUAGAACAUUUUUGUUUCUUUUACUAUAUAGAUUUAUAAAUUAGAAAAUUGCUCAUUUUGAACCAGAUAUCCAAAAGACACUUUAGAAUAAUAAUUCUAAACUUGGUACAUGCUGGAGCCCGACCCCUAUCGAACGAGUUUUGUAUAUGAAAUGUAGGAUACACGUCCAUGUGAUGAGUGUUUUAAAGAUAAGCAUAUUACAAUUGAAUACAUAUUUGAACAGGUGUAUGCGUAUAUCCAAGGAGUGUCCACUUAAAUUUCAGUGUCCGGUAUGGGUACAAUACCCCUACUACACGGGUUCAGAUAGAAGUACUCAUGCAACAUAGAUGCAGAUUAAAGCAAUCCCAUGCUUCAUCUAGAUAUUGAUAGAUCCUAAACCGAUAUACAUGCACUCAAUAAAGAACCUUAAAACAACAAUGAUAUCACUUGCAAUCUAACCAACUAAUGCAAGUAACUAUGAAGUUCAGGUCUGAAAUUGUAUGUUAGCUAUAAAUUUGUACUUUGCACUAUCAUUAUGUACAAAAAGAAAUAGCUUAUGAGUUUAUAACAUGGUUUCACACCAAUGAUGCAAUUCAUCACUAAAAGCAUUCAAUUUAUGAAAUAAUUAAUCGAUUGACCAAAGAAAAAUAGUACAGUGAUGUGUAAUUGAAGACCCAACGAAUCCAAUUUAAAAGAAUUAAAUUUUCUAAUUUUCACUAAGCUAGAAUUUCAGGGAAACUAAACCUUUCAGUCCUGGUCCAUUUUUAACUAAAGCAUAUACCUAAACAAAUAAAAAUAUCUUAAAUAAAACAAAUUCAAGAGUAAAGACUAAUAAAACUAGAAAUUCUCUGAUGCUAAUUUCUUCCUCCAAAAUCCUUUAGAAUAAGCCUUCAUGUGAUCCCCGACAGUGGGACUACUUUUUUAUGGGUUCCACCAUUCCAGUAAUAUAUCAGAGAAUAAUGUGUUCCGCCAAAGCAAUUACCAAUUAGAAAUGAAUAGGUUUAGGAUUUGUCUGUGUGGACACUCAUCCGUAGAAAAGAAUCUAGUUUCAUUUGGAUGAGGUUUAGUUAGGCAAACCUGAGUUCCGUAAGGUUACAACCCGAAACCCCAAAGACCAAUUCAGUGUCAAAUAGAGUUUUCUAAACUAUUGUUCACAAUAAUUGAUGUUUCUGAAACCGGGACUUGGCAAAUUCCACUGUGACCCUAUGCGUGGAUCUAAACCCCAUUCCUUAUUUAAGAAAAGAUUUAGCGAAAAUCACUUUUCAGAAAUCAAGCCUUUGACAAUUCUUUCCAAACCAUCACCAAAAUUAGUUAACCCCCUAGUUUAUGAAAAGGGAUUUUGUACAUACUCCAGUCUCGUUUUAAUUUAAAUAAAACUGAUUUCAUCAACCAUAUACCUCAAUAGAAAAGCAGGCGGGUACGAAUAUCUGCAGAUAUAUCCAUGUUCUCAGAUACUGAUAUGUCCAUAUCCUAUUAUAUGAAUACAUAUAUUGUUCUUUUUGGAUUAUUUUCAAAUAUAAAUAUUUUGAUAUCUGUGCUGAUCAGACAAUUGAAGUAACUUUUGUCUUAGAUUAGUAUCUAAAGACGAUUUGAAGGCUCAAUGACUAACCCUAGGUUUUUUGGGUGUAUUAGACACAUUGACAGACUCUGAUUUAAGUGAUUUUGUUUAUCUAGACUAUUCCUAUAUAACUUGGCCUUUUAUACUUUUAGUCAUGCUCAUUUUCUUCAUGAUUCAAUGUGUUUUUGUAUUUGUUGUCCUACAUCUAAUCCAGAUAUGUAUCCGAUUUUGUGGAUACAAAUAUGACUUUUUAUCCGGGCCAAAUUCAUAUCCGUGUGUAGUAAACGUAUGCAGAUAGCGUAAUGCCAUACUUGAUGACUCUUAAUUCAUUGUUUGUACAUACAUAAGAAUCAUUGAGGAGCAUAUUCCUAUCAAAUUAAGCAGCUGAUUCAUAGAAGUAAUAUGACAGUGAACUUUUAACUCCUUUCAUAGACAUUCAUGAUAAUACUAAUGUGGUAAGAGCGAACUUAUUGCACCUACUUUAUUUUGAGUUUUUGAGAUAAAGUUGGGAUGUUAAUACCUCGCUGGCAUGAAUAUGAAGUUUAUACUGAACAUAUUACAGCUUUCAGAUUCAAAUGGAAAAAUCCUUUUAGUCAAGUUAAUCAAUGUAUAUUCAAUUGGAAAGAAUCUAUGAUUUUGAUACACCUCAAGUAAACAUGUGACGUGAAGCUACCAAAUCUUGAAGAACAACUUUGAUAAAAGGAAUUAGGAUGAGUUGGUAAUGCAUGUGAAAAGGAGAUCAAAGUUCAAACUAUUCUGCAAUGGGCAUAGAAUAAUGAACACAUUCUCUCUUCUAUUAGGAGAUGCUGGAAGGAAGCCACCUUUACAUUGAAAAAAUCAGUUUGAUUUGGUUCUAUAGAAACUACGCCAUGUUAGUGUAUAGAAUGUUAACAAAGCAUAUCUAGUUCAUGCGGAAUCUAAUGAAGUUAUUUGUGGAUGUUAUUGUAAUAGCAAUGUUCAAUAGUAAGAACCUCAUUAAAAUCCAUCAUCAUGUAAGAUUUUGAAGGAUGCAGUUUAGUUAAAUUUGAAGGCUUAAUACGUACAAAUGCCCUGGGUUAUUGAUAGUGGGGAAAUUGGAGCAAAUAUUUUCUAAGACAGUUAUAUGGAAAUCUGUACUUUGUUGUCAUAAUGCUAGAUAGUUGCGAAACUUGUCCGAAAAGAAUGGAGCUAAAAUGCUGAGAUGGACAAGCAACAUUAUGUUAAAGGGGGUGAUAAUUGAGUGCAGUUAGAAGAAGUUACAGGAUGCUUCAAUUGAGAGGAAGAUGAGAAAGAAUCAUUGACGUUAUUGACUGCAUGUGUUGAGUCAAACGAGCAUUCUAGUUAGCAUUUAUAGGAAUGUAGUUGAAAUGUGGGUACGAUUAUGGAAAUUAAAUAAAUAUGAUCUAAGGUUUCCGCAAAAUGAAAAGACAAGAAAAGAGAAGGAAAAAAGAUAUAGUAAUUACGUGUAAAAGGUUCUUAGUAUAGCUCUAAAAUGCAGGGAGACUGAAAUAGGACAAGGAAGACUAGGACGAGUAAAUUAUGGGUACAAAACACAUAAAUCCUAUAGAAAGUAAGACGAUGGAUAAUUGGAUACAAUGACAUGACACAAGAAUUUAUAUGAAUACUAGAAGAGUUUGUCUACACGUUUUAUACAUAGACAAAUCCAUGCAUCCAAGUCCAACAUGUAUUUCUAAUGACGUAAAA